AACUCAAAGGAGACCCGUCGAUAAAGCGGAGGAAGGUGGGGACGACGUCAAGUCAUCAUGGCCCUUACGACCAGGGCUACACACGUGCUACAAUGGCGUAUACAAAGGGAGGCGACCUCGCGAGAGCAAGCGGACCUCAUAAAGUACGUCUAAGUCCGGAUUGGAGUCUGCAACUCGACUCCAUGAAGUCGGAAUCGCUAGUAAUCGUGAAUCAGAAUGUCACGGUGAAUACGUUCCCGGGCCUUGUACACACCGCCCGUCACACCAUGGGAGUGGGUUGCACCAGAAGUAGAUAGCUUAACCGCAAGGGGGGCGUUUACCACGGUGUGGUCCAUGACUGGGGUGAAGUCGUAACAAGGUAACCAAGGGCGAAUUCUG
rnacentral:rRNA from 1 species